rnacentral:rRNA from 1 species
UACGUAGGGUGCGAGCGUUAAUCGGAAUUACUGGGCGUAAAGCGUGCGCAGGCGGUUUUGUAAGCCAGAUGUGAAAGCCCCGGGCUUAACCUGGGAAUGGCAUUUGGGACUGCAAGGCUUGAGUGCGGCAGAGGAGACUGGAAUUCCCGGUGUAGCAGUGAAAUGCGUAGAUAUCGGGAGGAAUACCGAUGGCGAAGGCAGGUCUCUGGGCUGACACUGACGCUCAUGCACGAAAGCGUGGGGAGCAAACGGG